rnacentral:rRNA from 1 species
UACGGGGGGGGGCAAGCGUUGUUCGGACUUACUGGGCGUAAAGGGCUCGUAGGCGGCCAACUAAGUCAGACGUGAAAUCCCUCGGCUUAACCGGGGAACUGCGUCUGAUACUGGAUGGCUUGAGUUUGGGAGAGGGAUGCGGAAUUCCAGGUGUAGCGGUGAAAUGCGUAGAUAUCUGGAGGAACACCGGUGGCGAAGGCGGCAUCCUGGACCAACACUGACGCUGAGGAGCGAAAGCCAGGGGAGCAAACGGG